rnacentral:rRNA from 1 species
AGAGUUUGAUCCUGGCUCAGAAUCAACGCUGGCGGCGUGCCUAACACAUGCAAGUCGCACGAGAAAGGGUAGCAAUACCUGAGUAAAGUGGCGCACGGGUGAGUAACACGUGACUAAUCUACCCUCGAGUGGGGAAUAACUGAGAGAAAUCUUAGCUAAUACCGCAUAACACUUACGAGUCAAAGCAGCAAUGCGCUUGGGGAGGAGGUCGCGGCCGAUUAGCUAGUUGGCGGGGUAAUGGCCCACCAAGGCGAUGAUCGGUAUCCGGCCUGAGAGGGCGCACGGACACACUGGAACUGAAACACGGUCCAGACUCCUACGGGAGGCAGCAGUGGGGAAUUUUGCGCAAUGGGGGAAACCCUGACGCAGCAACGCCGCGUGGAGGAUGAAAUAUCUUGGUAUGUAAACUCCUUUCGAUGGGGAAGAUUAUGACGGUACCCAUAGAAGAAGCCCCGGCUAACUUCGUGCCAGCAGCCGCGGUAAUACGAGGGGGGCAAGCGUUGUUCGGAUUUAUUGGGCGUAAAGGGUGCGUAGGCGGUUUGGCAAGUCUUGUGUGAAAUCUUCGGGCUCAACCCGAAGUCUGCACAAGAAACUGCCGGGCUUGAGUAUGGGAGAGGUGAGUGGAAUUUCCGGUGUAGCGGUGAAAUGCGUAGAUAUCGGAAGGAACACCUGUGGCGAAAGCGGCUCGCUGGACCAUAACUGACGCUGAUGCACGAAAGCUAGGGGAGCAAACAGGAUUAGAUACCCUGGUAGUCCUAGCCCUAAACGAUGAUUGUUUGAUGUGGCAGGUACCCAAUCCUGCCGUGUCGAAGCUAACGCGAUAAACAAUCCGCCUGGGGAGUACGGUCGCAAGGCUGAAACUCAAAGGAAUUGACGG